rnacentral:rRNA from 1 species
CCUACGGGUGGCAGCAGUGGGGAAUAUUGGGCAAUGGGCGCAAGCCUGACCCAGCAACGCCGCGUGAAGGAAGAAGGCUUUCGGGUUGUAAACUUCUUUUGUCAGGGAAGAGUAGAAGACGGUACCUGACGAAUAAGCCACGGCUAACUACGUGCCAGCAGCCGCGGUAAUACGUAGGUGGCAAGCGUUGUCCGGAUUUACUGGGUGUAAAGGGCGUGUAGCCGGGUUGACAAGUCAGAUGUGAAAUCCUGCGGCUUAACCGCAGAACUGCAUUUGAAACUGUUGAUCUUGAGUACUGGAGAGGCAGACGGAAUUCCUAGUGUAGCGGUGAAAUGCGUAGAUAUUAGGAGGAACACCAGUGGCGAAGGCGUCUUACUGGACCGAAACUGACGUUGAGGCUCGAAAGCGUGGGGAGCAAACAGGAUUAGAUACCCUAGUAGUC